rnacentral:lncRNA from 1 species
AUUAACUAAGCACAAAUGCUUACAAAUGAGAACAAAGAAGAUGAAAAUCCUCCAAAACAGGACUGCUAGUGCGGGGCCAAUUUCUCCCAAACUAGUCCUCUGAUUGACGAUCCGAACGGUCAGAAUGAAGAACCAUAUGUCUGGAACCUACUGCCUUAAAAUCAGCUCGAUCCAACGGUUAACGACUUUACAGCGUCAAAAACACCAGUGCAGGUUUAGGGUUAUGCGGGAAUGACUUUCUCUCCUUCUUUUUCUCUCGCUUGGCUUUUGCCUCUCUUCAAAUGACUCUCUUGUGCUCUACUAAUCUGACCCAUCUCAUUUUAGGGUGUUACUCCCUACACCUCCACACAUCACUUCCUGCACCUCCCCAUUCCUCUUUUGCCCUUAAAUUAAACCGAUAUCAACUUCCGUCG